GCUCAGGACGAACGCUGGCGGCGUGCUUAACACAUGCAAGUCGAACGAUGAUGCCCAGCUUGCUGGGCGGAUUAGUGGCGAACGGGUGAGUAAUACGUGAGUAACCUGCCCUUGACUCUGGGAUAAGCCUGGGAAACUGGGUCUAAUACUGGAUACUACUGUCCAUCGCAUGGUGGGUGGUGGAAAGGGUUUUACUGGUUUUGGAUGGGCUCACGGCCUAUCAGCUUGUUGGUGGGGUAAUGGCUCACCAAGGCGACGACGGGUAGCCGGCCUGAGAGGGUGACCGGCCACACUGGGACUGAGACACGGCCCAGACUCCUACGGGAGGCAGCAGUGGGGAAUAUUGCACAAUGGGCGGAAGCCUGAUGCAGCGACGCCGCGUGAGGGAUGACGGCCUUCGGGUUGUAAACCUCUUUCAGUAGGGAAGAAGCGAGAG
rnacentral:rRNA from 1 species